rnacentral:tRNA from 1 species
GGGGGUGUAGCUCAGUGGUAGAGCCCAUGCUUAGCACGCACAAGGCCCUGGGUUCAAUUCCCCAGUGCCUCCA